GUUAAACUACAUCCAGGCAUGAGAUGGGAGGUUGUGUGUGGGGUUAGUGAGUCCCAACUAACGUCUAUAAAAUGCACACAAAGAACCGUUUGCACCUUCUCUUGUGACUGGCGGGCGGUCAGCGCCAUAAAGCUGAGCGGGUCCUUGGGUAAUUGGGGCGCGGACAACCAACAGGACAGACUAAGUUCAACAGCCCAGUAAGGCAAUUAGUCUAGGAGAAGGAUCUCUGAUGUAAAAUACCCCUUCCAACCCGCACCAAGCCAGCGUGGAAGGUGUAGGCUAAUAACCAGCAUGAAGAGUACACCAAGAGAGAUCAUUCACUAUGGCAGAAACAUGCUGAGGCUUUCGUCCAGCAGUGGACUGACAACGGCUGAUGAUGAUGAUUAGGUCGAUAUUUAUAUUUUCUCAAAAUAAUUGUUUUUGUUAUUGUUACAAACUCAGUGUCCAAAUGAUUUAGAAAAAGUAGUAGUUUUUGCUUGAAUUUAGUUAUUGUGUACUAUUCACUUUGUUUUGAUCAAAUAUUGUAUGUCAUAAAAAAGAAUAAGGAAGUAGUUUAAAUAAUGUGCUGACAUUGUUUAACUGUGAAUAGCACUAGAAAAUAGAUUCACAUCCACAAUUCUAAUUCAUUCAGAAUCUAAAUAGAUUCAUACUUUAAAAAAAAAAAAAAUUUGAAAUUCAACUACUUUUGAAAAUAUGUUUUGAGGCCAUCUCCAUGAAACUAGAGGGAGCUUUUCCAAUAUGUAACCUGUUUGGAAAAAUGUUCAUUAUAAUUGUUAUACAAAAUAACAUAUUGCAAAAAUUGGUUUGAAUCCAGGAUCUAGUCGGACUCGAUUCGUCACAACAUGAAUCGGAAUCGGAUCGCAUCGUUAGGUGCCCAAAGAUUCACUCCCUUGUCACUCACCAUAAAUCAAUUAAAAAAAAUAUCAGUUAAUACACGUGAAGGUUAUUGGUAUCGGCCGAUCUCACUCAUGAAUGGUCGGUAUCGGAAUCAGCAGCAUAAAACCCGCUUGUUUGGCAUCUACAAACUGACCAUGUGUUGUAGUUUUCAACUUGCAACAUGGUUGAUGCACUGUGGCGAUAUGGAGCUCACCUCAGGUGUACAAUACGAAUCAUAGAGCCAGCGAGGACAGCAGAGAUUCUCCCAGCGUUGCAGCAGCCGCUCAGAUUGGCCAGAAGAGCGCGGGACAUCUUGGGGAGGAAGUAGAGCAGCUGCACCAGGCGCUGCUGGGACUCUGCUGGCAAAAGAACCACAGCGCCUUCCUGUGGAUCUUCAGGGAGACAAGAAUUGUGUGUCAAAGGGACAUCAUGCAAUACAAGAAAACACUUUGUCGUGGUGACUGCCGUAGCCACCCGGAUAGCGUGUGUGUGUGUGUGUGUCUUUCUCUGACGCACAUGCUGAUGUCAGCUGCCCAUGGACAAAAGGACUCUUGUGAUGAAGAAACUGGAAGUUGCGAAGGCACUCGCUCUCUUGCAACAGAGCAACGCAGGAAGUGAUCACUGAUCAGUGGGAGUGACACACUAACAGCCAAUCAGGACAUUUGAGUAUCAAGAAAGGCAUACCAUAGAGCUUGCAGGCAUGCGUUUGGAGACUGGUGAGCAAGUCUUUGUUGCCCCUGGAGGCCGCAGCCUGGAUGGACUGGAUAAGCAAAGCUGAUAGAGCCGGAUUCCGGUGGCCCAGCUGUGCCAACUGUACAGGAAGUGAGGCCAGCCACUGACACAGCACCUUACUCCUUCAAACGAGGGAUUUAUAAUGUUGUCAGCAUUAAGCUAUUCACUUGAACCAGUAGAUGUCAUUUAAGAAAUGGAUUUGUUUCUAUCCUAAAUGAUAACAAGUAGGUUACCUGGCAAUAUGUGAAUGUCCUUGUUCGUGAAGGUAGAUUUUGCUGUAGAAAGACAGCAGAAGAGAUCUGGUCUGUAGUGUCAGGUGCCUCUGUUGAUAGUAUGCAUACGCUGCUGCAAACAGGUCCUCUGUCACUCCUGCAAUCAAAUAAAGAAACGCAAAAUAAGUUAGCAAGUCUUUUCUUAUAAGCGGCUAUUAUAGCAAGUUGCAACUGUUGCCAAUUAUAAUAAACACAAACUAGCUCGUCACAUGACAUGAUCCAUGCUAUAAUUAGAGCGCCAACGCUCACUUUUGCUCUUUUGUGUGAGCACCAUCUUCCACACAGUGCCAAGGAGCAUGUGCAGCUGCCUGUAGCUGAGCUUCACAUCGCCACCGAGGGUGUCUCGGACAAACGUCCUCAGAGGUGUCAGCCAGUCUCCGUCCGCGUCGCAGCCGACUCCCUGCCUCUGGCAGAGAGACACCAUCACCUGGCAGAGUGUGAUGUUUAGCGCCAGAGGAUCCACGGUCACAUCGGGGGCCGCUGGAGUCGGUUUACCCCUGGAGAGAAGAAAGUCGAGGGUUUCAGGAUUUGGCUUUUAUUCACCACCACAAAUGAUUGGGGGAAAAGCUAUAGACUCCAAGCUUUAAGAGGCAUUUAACAUUUAGCCCACCACCAAGACAUAUUUGGAAAACCUAAAAUAAUAUUUUUAAAGCAGGCUUCGCUACACAUCUUAAAAUAAAGCAGUCAGUUGCAGGUGUAGGAGCUGUGAGUUUGACCACGUUUUUCUCUAACGAACAGGCUGAUAUACCAUGAUGUGAUGUUAGCAUGUAGCUCAUAUAGCUAUGCUAGUGUUGCUAAUGUUUCUAUCCUCCUGUCUCACUCCUUUGUUAUGUUGUGUUAUCUACCACGUUGGGAGCAUUACAGUGUACUGCAAAGACUCUUUUAGGUUUAAUACCUCCAUACUUGUGUACUCUGUUACAAAGAAAAAACAGCUCUUAUGCAUUACGUUCUAACAACUUGUAUGUUUUAACUGUUCCCCAUGUACGGACUGAAUUUGGCAAAAGAGUUUUUGGCAUUGCUGCCCCUAUGACAUGGAAUGCAUUGCAGACGAAACUGAAACUCACUGAACUACUUCCAUUUGGAGACUUCCAUUCUGUCCUGAGGGACAGACAGCAAGAGACUUUUGCACAGUGCCUGUGUUUUUAAAAGGUGUAAAUCUUUAUUGUUUUACAGUUCUCUUUUAUGUAUUUUAAAAUGUAUGUCUUAACGUAUUACUUUUUUGAAACUGCUCUGUGACAUGUGCUGUUGACCGCUUGGCCAGGUCACCCUUGUGAAACAGAUCUUGAUCACAAUGGGUUUCUUAUCUGGUUAAAUAAAGGAUCUAGUGUUAAAAAAAGUAGAUUAGGUACACAAUUGCACUUAUUUGAGACCCACACACAUAAAACAGCAUGUUCCAGGUCAGGGUUGUCCAAACUUUUUCCACUGUGGGCCGCACACUGAAAAAUCAAAGCAUGCGAGGGCCAUUUUCAUGUUUUUCAUUUUCAAAACCAAUACAAUGUGUUAGCUUUUGUCUGUCUUGAACCUCAAGAUGCAGAGACA